UGGAUCCCAAAGGUGCGGCAGCUGGAGGCUUGUGCUCCUGGAGGGAAAUCUGAGCAGGGCUCUCUUCCACAGCUGCCAUACCUCCUUUACCUGGAACCUGGAGAUGCUCCUUGCAAUGAAUGAUCCAGAGCAGCUUAUAGUCAAAGGGAAGGCUGACUCUGGAACUCAAGCCUUCUCACUCAAAGGCCAGUAGUCUUUGUUUCUGGUGAGGGCCAGAUGAAUGAAGCAUAAAUAGUUUGUCCUGUUUUAUCAGUAGCUGUCACAAGGCAUCAUUUCUUUGGCAGCAGAUCUUAGCACAGUUUAUAUGUUUAAUAUUUAACAUAUAUCAGUAACCUAUGACUCAAGCUGAUCACAGACUCAAAUAUAAUGUACCUUGUGGAUGAGCAAGAAGUAAAAAUAGUGUAAGCAUUUCAUCUUGGCCGGGAAAUAGAUAUGAAUGUUCAUGGAAGAAUGAACAAAGGAAGAGGCUUGCAGGUUGGGUCAAUUAAUUCUCUCUCUGGAAUUUUGAACUGAGAUUCACAGAGAAGCUGUUGUGAAGGAGCCAUGGAUAGCUGGAGGAUCCUCGCAGCAGAAGAUGUCUUAACUUCAGUGCAACAAAACCCCAAGUGAUAACAUCAGAUUUUGCCGGAAUGGAGUUACAUCCUGGCUGUCAUGCAGAUACCCAGGCCUCCAACAACA
rnacentral:lncRNA from 1 species